AGCUCCAAUAGCGUAUAUUAAAGUUGUUGCAGUUAAAAAGCUCGUAGUUGGAUUUCUGGCAGGAGCGACCGGUCACACACUCUGUGUGUGAACUUGUGUUGUCUCUGGCCAUCCUUGGGGAGAUCCUGUUUGGCAUUAAGUUGUCGGGCAGGGGAUACCCAUCGUUUACUGUGAAAAAAUUAGAGUGUUUAAAGCAGGCUUAUGCCGUUGAAUAUAUUAGCAUGGAAUAAUAAGAUAGGACUUCGGAACUAUUUUGUUGGUUUGCGUUACGAAGUAAUGAUUAAUAGGGACAGUUGGGGGUAUUCGUAUUUCGUUGUCAGAGGUGAAAUUCUUGGAUUUCCGAAAGACGAACUACUGCGAAAGCAUUUACCAAGGAUGUUUUCA
rnacentral:rRNA from 1 species